AUACACCCAAAUGAAUCUACAUGGCUGAUGCUCUCGUUUCUUCAAUGCCUCACUUUUCACCUUCUCUAAAACCCACCCUAAAUCCUCAACUCCCUAAAGCACCCAAAUCAUCCUUAAUGCGAUGUCUCUCUUCAGAGCCCUCCUUCUCAGUCCCCCCUCUCUUCAACUCUCGCAAACCUUUCUCCUCCCCUUUCCGAUUUGCUAUCUGCAGAACCCUUGCUACUUCCUCCUCUCCCCAACUCGAACCCGAUACUCAAACUGAACAAAACAAAAAGCUUAGCCUUGUAUUCCAAGAAGCAGUCGGUCUAUGUGAAAAAACGGAACCGGACAUCGAAAAUGAAAGCCAAAGCAAUGGGGUGAAGAAGAAAUUAUUGGAGCUAGAGAGAGAAGUGAGGGAUUUAAGAGAAGCAGAUUCGAAGAAUGACGAAGGAAAUCGGGAUGUAAAGAAAAUUGAAACAGGGAAACGCAAGAGUUUGUAUGCGAUGUUUACAGGAGAGAAACGUGGAGAGAAAAUGGAAACGCAGAGAAGGGAGUCGGAAGGACCCAGGGUUUUUAAGGAGUUUUCGCCGGAUAUGAAAAUGUUAGUGAACCAUUUGUACCAGCAUGGUUAUUUUAAGGAUGCUAAUUUUUUGAGAAGGGGUGAGCUAGAUUUUAGUUGCUUUUAUGAUAGCUAUGGUAGGG
rnacentral:misc_RNA from 1 species